AGUGAACGCUGGCGGUAGGCCUAACACAUGCAAGUCGAACGGCAGCACAGUAAGAGCUUGCUCUUACGGGUGGCGAGUGGCGGACGGGUGAGGAAUACAUCGGAAUCUACUUUUUCGUGGGGGAUAACGUAGGGAAACUUACGCUAAUACCGCAUACAACCUACGGGUGAAAGCAGGGGAUCUUCGGACCUUGCGCGAUUGAAUGAGCCGAUGUCGGAUUAGCUAGUUGGCGGGGUAAAGGCCCACCAAGGCGACGAUCCGUAGCUGGUCUGAGAGGAUGAUCAGCCACACUGGAACUGAGACACGGUCCAGACUCCUACGGGAGGCAGCAGUGGGGAAUAUUGGACAAAGGGCGCAAGCCUGAUCCAGCCAUACCGCGUGGGUGAAGAAGGCCUUCGGGUUGUAAAGCCCUUUUGUUGGGAAAGAAAAGCAGCAGGUUAAUACCCCGCUGUUCUGACGGUACCCAAAGAAUAAGCACCGGCUAACUUCGUG
rnacentral:rRNA from 1 species